rnacentral:rRNA from 1 species
UACGGGGGGGGCAAGCGUUGUUCGGAAUUACUGGGCGUAAAGGGCUCGUAGGUGGCCAACUAAGUCAGACGUGAAAUCCCUCAGCUUAACUGGGGAACUGCGUCUGAUACUGGAUGGCUUGAGAUUGGGAGAGGGAUGCGGAAUUCCAGGUGUAGCGGUGAAAUGCGUAGAUAUCAGGAGGAACACCGGUGGCGAAGGCGGAUCUCUGGGCCGUAACUGACGCUGAGGAGCGAAAGCGUGGGGAGCGAACAGG